rnacentral:rRNA from 1 species
GACGAACGCUGGCGGCGUGCCUAACACAUGCAAGUCGAGCGGAGCCAAUUAGAAGAUUCCUUCGGGAUGAUUUUGAGGAAGCUUAGCGGCGGACGGGUGAGUAACGCGUGAGUAACCUGCCCAUAAGAGCGGGAUAACACAGAGAAAUUUGUGCUAAUACCGCAUAUUGAACUAAAGUCGCAUGGUUUUAGUUUGAAAGAUUUAUCGCUUAUGGAUGGACUCGCGUCUGAUUAGAUAGUUGGUGAGGUAACGGCUCACCAAGGCGACGAUCAGUAGCCGAACUGAGAGGUUGAUCGGCCACAUUGGGACUGAGACACGGCCCAGACUCCUACGGGAGGCAGCAGUGGGGAAUAUUGCGCAAUGGGGGCAACCCUGACGCAGCAACGCCGCGUUGAGGAUGACGGUUUUCGGAUUGUAAACUCAUGUCGGGUGGGAAGAUAAUGACGGUACCACCGGAGAAAGUCACGGCUAACUACGUGCCAGCAGCCGCGG